rnacentral:rRNA from 1 species
CCUACGGGUGGCAGCAGUGAGGAAUAUUGGUCAAUGGGCGGAAGCCUGAACCAGCCAAGUAGCGUGCAGGAUGACGGCCCUACGGGUUGUAAACCGCUUUUAUACGGGAAUAACGCGCCUUACGUGUAGGCCUUUGCGUGUACCGGAUGAAUAAGCACCGGCUAAUUCCGUGCCAGCAGCCGCGGUAAUACGGAAGGUCCGGGCGUUAUCCGGAUUUAUUGGGUUUAAAGGGAGCGUAGGCCGCAUGUCAAGCGUGCUGUGAAAUGUCCGGGCUCAACCCGGGCCUUGCAGCGCGAACUGGCGUGCUUGAGUGCGCGGAAAGCAGGCGGAAUUCGUGGUGUAGCGGUGAAAUGCUUAGAUAUGACGAAGAACCCCGAUUGCGAAGGCAGCUUGCUGCAGCGGAACUGACGCUGAUGCUCGAAAGCGCGGGUAUCGAACAGGAUUAGAUACCCCUGUAGUC